GGAAUAUUGGGCAAUGGACGAAAGUCUGACCCAGCCAUGCCGCGUGAAGGAUGAAGGUCCUCUGGAUUGUAAACUUCUUUUAUCUGGGGCGAAAACCACCCUUUCUAGGGUGCUUGACAGUACCAGAUGAAUAAGCACCGGCUAACUCCGUGCCAGCAGCCGCGGUAAUACGGAGGGUGCAAGCGUUAUCCGGAUUCACUGGGUUUAAAGGGUGCGUAGGCGGGCAGGUAAGUCAGUGGUGAAAUCUUCGAGCUUAACUCGGAAACUGCCGUUGAUACUAUCUGUCUUGAAUAUCGUGGAGGUAAGCGGAAUAUGUCAUGUAGCGGUGAAAUGCUUAGAUAUGACAUAGAACACCAAUUGCGAAGGCAGCUUGCUACACGGUUAUUGACGCUGAGGCACGAAAGCGUGGGGAUCAAACAGGAUUAGAUACCC
rnacentral:rRNA from 1 species